AUGCAGUCUAUAAUUGACGGCUUGACGCAAAGGAUAUGGUUGUGCAGUGGCGGCAGCUGGGUUUCUAAUCCAGCGCAUGCAGCUGUUAGGAUUGUGGAAAAGUGGUGGCGACAACAUGCAAUUGACUCCGAUGAUGGUACUUCUCAAGUACCCGGUCUCGAGCUCCGGGGUGAAAACCUAGGUUUGACCGGAGUUGGCUAUACCUGGCAAUGGCGAUGUUUUUGCGUCGUUAUCUUGUUGAAGACGUUGCUCGGAUAUGCUCAGAUUGGUUCUUCAGGGUGA
rnacentral:rRNA from 1 species